rnacentral:rRNA from 1 species
AUUGAACGCUGGCGGAAUGCUUUACACAUGCAAGUCGAACGGCAGCACGGACUUCGGUCUGGUGGCGAGUGGCGAACGGGUGAGUAAUGUAUCGGAACGUGCCCAGUCGUGGGGGAUAACGUAGUGAAAAUUACGCUAAUACCGCAUACGAUCUAUGGAUGAAAGCGGGGGAUCGCAAGACCUCGCGCGAUUGGGGCGGCCGAUAUCAGAUUAGGUAGUUGGUGGGGUAAAGGCCCACCAAGCCAACGAUCUGUAGCUGGUCUGAGAGGACGACCAGCCCCACUGGAACUGAGUCACGGUCCAGACUCCUACGGGAGGCAGCAGUGGGGAAUUUUGGACAAUGGGCGAAAGCCUGAUCCAGCCAUUCCGCGUGCAGGAUGAAGGCCCUCGGGUUGUAAACUGCUUUUGUACAGAACGAAAAGGUUUCUACUAAUACUGGGAGCUCAUGACGGUACUGUAAGAAUAAGCACCGGCUAACUACGUGCCAGCAGCCGCCGUAA